rnacentral:tRNA from 1 species
GCUUGGGUGGUGGAAUGGUAGACACAAGGGACUUAAAAUCCCUCGGGCCGAAUAGUCCCGUGCGAGUUCGAGUCUCGCUCCGAGCACCA